CCUGGCCCUUAGAAGCAUUGCAGGUGUGGCUGUUGUGCCACAUGUCUUUCAUUAGUUGGCAGAGAGGCAAGAGGCUAUGUCUAUGAUAAACAUUGCAUCUAUGAACAUCUGAAUGAUUUGUAGCCUAACACU